rnacentral:misc_RNA from 1 species
UUCCAAUUGAAUAAUUGUUGUGUUUUUAAGCCAGUACAUGAUAUUCAAGAAUUUCCCUCGCAGGAUUUAGAGGGGAAGACAUUAUGAAUACUAUUAAAUGAAUCCCAAACGGGGUCAAAUGGCAUUAUUGAAAUCUGAAGGCUCAAAUAUCAACCAGUUCACCAAAUGUUCAUGAACUAAUAACUUCUUUGUCUGCCCUUACAAAUUGACUCUUGUCUAGUUGUGCUCCUGGAGAAAUAAGAAGCACUGGCAGGAACCAAAAAUAGAAACUAAAAAAGAUUGUUCAGAGUUUGAACUGAAAAGGAUGAUGGUAACUCGUAAUUAAACUGUGCAACAAAGUUUUGAAUCAAGUGAAGCCAAACAUACGCUAAAUGCUUGGUAACCUGUUAAAGGGUAUCUGAAAUCCAUCACAAACUUUGACUUCCCUACUCUUCCAAGCUGCAAAAUUGUCUGCUUCCCAUGCUCCUCCAAUUUAAGCUGGAAAUUCUUCACUGAUGUUUGGAUACUAAGACCAGCUCUACCCCUGUCUCUGUAGUCUAAUUCAUAUUGUCUUGAAAUAUUAUUGUACUUUGGAGUCUUUGAAUGUAACUUUUGUACUUUAUCCAUUUUUUCCUCCCAAUCCUUGGGCAGACCAUUAAUGUGUUGCAUCUGGGCUGUGUUCUUUAGCUGCAUAGAUUGGUGCUUGGGUAUGUACACCCUCAUGCUUCUGUAACUCCCAGUGCAAGUGACUAUGGUAGGCUCAUAUGUAACAACAGCCAGGAGAGGAUUGCGCUUAGAUGGCGAAUUGAGACGACCACCCUGAUCCCAUACGUGAUACUUGGAACCCAUGAAGUUAGCUGUUACAUUCCCAACAAAACUAUCAUCGGAAGUAGAUAAAACUCCCUUUAAAUUCUGAGCUAUGGUAAACACUGACUUCCCAUUAUGCCUCUUAUGGUGAGCCAUAGCUAGUUUCCGAUCCUGUCGUCCCUGUCCUUCAUUGGUAUAGAGGGAGUAUAUUGUACCCCCAUUUAACCCUUUUGGUAAGGCUUCCUUCAAAAUAACACAAGUGCAUCUCCCUAUGUCCAAUGGCAAUGGCCUGCAUAACAAUGCCCUAUUAGGCAAUGUAGACCAAGAAGAAGCAGGAGCAGCUUCAGAAUCAGAAUAAUCCCAAAUAUUUAAGGAAGUAGUUGAUUUCUCAGAUUCAACUGAAUCCCAUAAUUUGCACUUCAAACCCCUUUCAGGUUCAUUCAUCUGCAUACAGAACUGCAGCGAAGUUGGCUUCAGGACUCUACCUGUAGACAAAGAUUUCAUAUUUGACAACUGCUUUGGCAUCAAGGGACCAUUUGCGUUAGAGUUUUUGGGCAUUGCAUUUUCCUUGUCACUUCCAAAGAUGGGAUUAUUCUCUUUGUUGUCAAAGAAAGCUGCUGUGAGGUCUCCUUCGCUACAGCUAUGGUGGUGUUUGAUAUCAGUUAGGGGAUUGAGAUAGAGGGAAUUAUAUGAAGAUUUGCUUGGAACUGUAGGUUUCUUGAAACCAGCCAUUUUCUGGCAGAAAAGAGAGAGAACGAGGAAGAGAUUUGGAGGAUAUAGCUUCAGUCCUCAAUGGAGUGUGGAUCUGAAUGCUCAGGGAAGUGUUUAGAGUAAUGGGGUUUUGGAGUUCAUCUUCUACCACAAACUCAGAAAGCAGGAUGAUAUGAUCUUCCUUCCAUGAAAGAAGUUUUUAUGAUUUGUAAAGAUGCAAGCUUAGUUACCGUCUGUCUCCAUUACAUGAUUUUGUUUGCUUUUCAAUUUUGGUGCCUCUCAAAUUCCCAAAAAGAAAUCUAACGUCCUGAUGUAGCCACG